UACGAAGGGGGCUAGCGUUGCUCGGAAUGACUGGGCGUAAAGGGCGCGUAGGCGGCUUUGCAAGUCGGGUGUGAAAUCCCCAGGCUUAACCUGGGAACUGCAUCCGAUACUGGAUGGCUUGAAUCCGGGAGAGGGAUGCAGAAUUCCAGGUGUAGCGGUGAAAUGCGUAGAUAUCUGGAGGAAUACCGGUGGCGAAGGCGGCAUCCUGGACCGGCAUUGACGCUGAGUGAGCGAAAGCCAGGGGAGCAAAGCGGG
rnacentral:rRNA from 1 species